UACCUAUACUACAUUUUCCAUUUCCUGCUAAUAAUUUAAUAAAAAUUAAUUAGGUAUUAAUUAUUGUUAUCAAUUAAAUUCUUAUUAUUAUCAUCUAUCUGUUUGUUUAUUAUUUCGAGGAGGAAAUGAGACGUGAUGAUACGGUGUAAAUAGUUUGCAUCAUAUGUAAGUGAUUGUGCAGAAAAAUUAAACCGGUGUCAAUUUUAACACGAGUUACACUAAAAAAUAUCUCAAAUUCACACCGGUUUGUAUAAAUGAAUUUCCUGUAUAUACUAUGUAAUAUAUAACUGUAUUUGCCUGUUGUAUGGACUAAAAUUUACAGAAUACCGAACGAACGUGUGAUAAGCUCAAACCACAGACGCCAUAUACUUAGUAUAAGGUCUAUGACUCAAACCUUCUCACUAUUGAUAAAGCGAUUAACACUAUAUCAAUAAUUAUUAUAG